rnacentral:misc_RNA from 1 species
GAAAUGCGAUAAGUAAUGUGAAUUGCAGAAUUCAGUGAAUCAUCGAAUCUUUGAACGCACAUUGCGCCCGCCAGUAUUCUGGCGGGCAUGCCUGUCCGAGCGUCAUUUCAACCAUCAAGCCCCCGGGCUUGUGUUGGGGACCUGCGGCUGCCCGCAGGCCCUGAAAACCAGUGGCGGGCUCGCUGUCACACCGAGCGUAGUAGCAAUCACCUCGCUCAGGGCGUGCUGCGGGUUCCGGCCGUUAAACAGCCUUACAAAACCCAAGGUUGACCUCGGAUCAGGUAGGGAGACCCGCUGAACUUGAGC